rnacentral:rRNA from 1 species
UACGGAGGGGGCUAGCGUUGUUCGGAAUUACUGGGCGUAAAGCGCACGUAGGCGGCUUUGCAAGUUAGAGGUGAAAGCCCGGGGCUCAACUCCGGAAUUGCCUUUAAAACUGCAUCGCUAGAAUUGUGGAGAGGUAAGUGGAAUUCCGAGUGUAGAGGUGAAAUUCGUAGAUAUUAGGAAGAACACCGGUGGCGAAGGCGGCCCACUGGAUCGGUACUGACGCUGAGGUGCGAAAGCCAGGGGAGCAAACGGG